rnacentral:lncRNA from 1 species
UCUCUUUUUUUUUUUUUUUUUUUUUCCCCUCUUCCCCCCUCCGCGUGCAGCCCGGUGUUGCUGAAUGGAAAAGCCGUGAGUCAGGCGUGUGUCAUCGCACAUAGCGGGAUAUAAGGGAGCUGUGGGGAGCUGUGGGGCCGCGUGGGGAGGGCGAGGGUGAGUGUGAGUGAGUGUGCAAGGCCAGGUGUGCGGAGCCGGGAGCGGGGGGGAAAAAGGGGGUUGGGGGGCGGUGGUGCGUGCUGUGUUGGUGUGUUGUGGAGGGGGUGUGAGCGGCGGGGGGGAGUGCGAGGAGGGUGGGAGGGUGUGAGGAGUUGUGUCAGUGUGUCAGUGUGUAUCUAGUUGUGUCAGUGUGCCUGUGUGUCGUGUAGUUGUGUCAGUGUGUCAGUGUGUCAGUGUGUGUGACUGCCUAGUUGUGUCAGUGUGUGUCACUGUCUAGUUGUGUCACUGUGUCAGUGUGUCACUGUGUCACUGUGUCACUGUGUGUGUAGUUGUGUCACUGUGUCACUGUGUCAGUGUGUCACAGUGUUGUGGUGUGAUUGUGUCGCGGUGUGGUUGUGUCGCGGUGUGGUUGUGUCACGGUGUGGUUGUGUCCCAGCAUCGCAGCGCUGGACUGCGGUUGUGUCGCCGUGUCUGUCGGCGUGUCACGACACUGAGGCGCGGUUGCGUCCCUGUUUGUGUCGCGCUGUCGCCGUGCCGCCAUGUUGAGGUGUGAUCGUCUCACUGUGGCACUGUCGUGUCCCUGUGCCGUGCUGUGACCUGGUUGUGUCGUUGUGUCCCUGUUGUGUCGCUGUGCGGUUGUGUCAUUGUGUGGUUGUGUUGUGUCGUUGUGUGGUUGUGUCGUUGUGUGGUUGUGUUGUUGCGUCGCCGUGGUUGUGGCCGUGGCGGCGCUGCGGCUGUGGGGUCAGAGCGCCGUCAGCCCCACAAGUGUGGAGGAGCCGCAGAGCAUGGCAGUCGCACUGUGGCAGACGCUGCUGGCCCUGCUGGGUCUGUACCCCGGGCUUUGCCCCUCCCUUCCGGCCGCCCCCCGCCCGCGCCCCCCGGACCCCCGCGCCGACCUGGACAGCGUGGUCAGCCUGGCCAAAGCCCUCC